rnacentral:piRNA from 1 species
GUUAUAGAUGACUAGAAUACCCUAUGAAGAA